ACGCUCGACACCUACGGGAGGCAGCAGUGGGGAAUAUUGCACAAUGGAGGAAACUCUGAUGCAGCGACGCCGCGUGAGCGAAGAAGUAUUUCGGUAUGUAAAGCUCUAUCAGCAGGGAAGAAAAAGGACGGUACCUGACUAAGAAGCUCCGGCUAAAUACGUGCCAGCAGCCGGGUAAUCUGAGCGGGCUGGCAAGGC
rnacentral:rRNA from 1 species